GGACUGCAGUGAAGCAGCACAGGCACACAUGUGCAAGAUCUGAGAGGCAGAGAAGUACGGUAAUAGGAUACAAGGGCAGGCCAGACAGGUGAAAUAGUGAGAGGAAUGCGACUAAUGCCACCACAGAAGCAAUCUGGACUCACGACAAAAGGUAUAUCCUGA
rnacentral:lncRNA from 11 species